UACAGAGGGUGCAAGCGUUGUUCGGAAUUAUUGGGCGUAAAGAGCUCGUAGGCGGUUUGUCGCGUCGACUGUGAAAACCUACAGCUUAACUGUGGGCUUGCAGUCGAUACGGGCAGACUUGAGUUCGGUAGGGGAGACUGGAAUUCCUGGUGUAGCGGUGAAAUGCGCAGAUAUCAGGAGGAACACCGGUGGCGAAGGCGGGUCUCUGGGCCGAUACUGACGCUGAGGAGCGAAAGCGUGGGGAGCGAACAGG
rnacentral:rRNA from 1 species